GACGUCCACUCACCAGGAUACAAGCUUCUCAAAUAAGCAAGCCAAGCUGCUCAAGACGUAGAAGUUCGCGUCCGAGUUUGACCAUCUGGUGGAUACGUCAAAGGUCAAGUUGGACGUGAUGAAGCUCUGGAUUGCCAAGCGGGUCAUUGAGCUACUUGGGUUCGACGUAUGUUUCUGAUCCAUGCAGAGGACCAAAAUUGAAGUCCAAACUUUGCACUACAUCUACAGAACGUUUGCUUUGGUGUCCCGUUCCAAUAUGUUGCAUGCUUAGAGUUUAAGACA